UACGGAGGGUGCAAGCGUUAUCCGGAUUUACUGGGUUUAAAGGGUGCGUAGGUGGGUCUGUAAGUCAGUGGUGAAAUCUCCGAGCUUAACUCGGAAACUGCCAUUGAUACUAUAGGUCUUGAAUUAUCUGGAGGUAAGCGGAAUAUGUCAUGUAGCGGUGAAAUGCUUAGAUAUGACAUAGAACACCGAUAGCGAAGGCAGCUUACUACAGGAUGAUUGACGCUGAGGCACGAAAGCGUGGGGAGCAAACAGG
rnacentral:rRNA from 1 species